UCCGNUUGGUGGAGCGAUUUGUCUGGUUAAUUCCGAUAACGAACGAGACUCCGGCAUGCUAACUAGUUACGCGGCCCCCGUGCGGUCGGCGUCCAACUUCUUAGAGGGACAAGUGGAAUUCAGCCACACGAGAUUGAGCAAUAACAGGUCUG
rnacentral:sRNA from 14 species